GAUCGCAGUGAUGACCUCAUGAAAUUCAAGCUCAACAGACCGGAAUGCAGGCUUCUCAUCUGAGAACUUUGCGUGUCGACCACCCCGCUGAACUGAGCGAUC
rfam:Gossypium hirsutum cultivar TM-1 chromosome 21, whole genome shotgun sequence